AAGAAUAAAGAGGAGGGAGAUAUUUAAAGUACUGAGAGAAAAAAACCCACCAACCUAGAAUUUUGCACCCUGUGAAAUUAUCAUUCAAAAGUGAAAGAGAAAUAAAAAUUUUCUCAGAUAAACA